AGCAUGUGGUUUAAUUCGAAGCAACGCGAAGACCUUACCAGGCCUUGACAUGCAGAGAACUUUCCAGAGAUGGAUUGGUGCCUUCGGGAACUCUGACACAGGUGCUGCAUGGCUGUCGUCAGCUCGUGUCGUGAGAUGUUGGGUUAAGUCCCGUAACGAGCGCAACCCUUGUCCUUAGUUACCAGCACGUUAUGGUGGGCACUCUAAGGAGACUGCCGGUGACAAACCGGAGGAAGGUGGGGAUGACGUCAAGUCAUUAUGGCCCUUACGGCCUGGGCUACACACGUGCUACAAUGGUCGGUACAAAGGGUUGCCAAGCCGCGAGGUGGAGCUAAUCCCAUAAAACCGAUCGUAGUCCGGAUCGCAGUCUGCAACUCGACUGCGUGAAGUCGGAAUCGCUAGUAAUCGUGAAUCAGCCAUGGCGCGGUGAAUACGUUCCCGGGCCUU
rnacentral:rRNA from 1 species